rfam:Asian citrus Psyllid, Diaphorina citri - Florida Strain, whole genome shotgun sequence.
AAAACGGCCCUUUUCAGGGCCACCAUAAAUUCUUCCCAACCAAAUUU